rnacentral:lncRNA from 1 species
AAUCACUAACCCAGGCUUGAUGUUAUUUUAAUCAAGCAUGAUAAGAAUAAUGAAAUGAUGCACCUCUUAGGAUUUAUUUGUAUGGCAGGGGAGGACUUCAGGAACAUAUCAUAUAAAUGAUGGAAGCCCAAGGACUUUUCCUAUCUUGCUGGUUUGUCCUUCUACCACCCCACGGGGUGGGGGCGCUGUGAUGAGGCAGAAGCAACAGAACAGGGUAGGGGUGGGGGUAGUCAGGAGACAUGGGUGAGUUACCUGGAGCAGAUGCCCUGCUCCCAGGACCCCAGUCUCUUCACAUGGGGAGGACUUGAUGCAGCAGCAUGUUGGUGAAUGUUUAAUGCCUAAUAAAUGCUUCUCCCCAAAAACAUGUAUUUUCAUAUGCGGCAUAUGCUUAUUAUACAAUUUACUAAUAUUAGCGAUGUGUAGUAUACAAUUUAAAAUAAUAAAACAUAGACUACUCUAUUGUACAUUCUGCAUAGCCAGUUGGUUUUUGUCAAUUUUUGCUGAACUCUCCCAUCAGUAUCCAACCAACAGUUGCAUCUGACAAAUGAAUGUGGUUCUGACAUGAACAUUGGUUGAUAUUUUUGUUUAUGUUAAAGAGGAAGGUGAAAGUGAAACCACAAAGACACAUGUUGGGACAAUAUGCGUUCGUCAGUGGCAUGAGUGGCUUCUCUGCUGAGUUGGAGAAUGGUAUUGGAAUACUGAUAGCCUAUAUCCUUGAGUUUUGCACUGUUCACAAUGUAACAACUAUCUAUAUGAUACACUGAAUUCCUGACAUUUUUGCCACUAUUCUUUUAAGUAUUGGCAAUCAAUAAAACAGUAGAUCAAGCUCUGGUGUGUAGUGUUGGCCAGUGUCUAUGGUAUAAAGACUCCUACCUUGACCUCUGUUAAGCCACCCAUGUGAUGUCACUGAAAUUGGAUUUGGGAAGGGAUGUGGGGUUAUAUACCAUUAUAUAGUGUAUCCACUAUACAGAUACAGGAGAUAUAAAGAACCUCAGAAGUACACAUAAUAGUAAAACAUAGUAAAAUACUUAGUAAGAGGUAGCUGUAUUUAUGACCUUUUUUUAAAAUAUAAUUUAUUUAAUAGAAGUUUACAUAAUUUAACUUUUAAUUAUGGCUGUGCUUAAUAAAACAGCUUGGAAAAUUCCUUAAAAUUUCACCAUCUGCUCUCAGGAAGGUAUGAGCUGGUUGCAGCAGAGCAGAGGUUUGAUGAGAUUCAUCCCAGUGUCCACCGCCAGAUGAGAUUUCCAAGAAGGGCUAGCAUUUCAGACCCUUCCUCUCCCAAGUCACUGUCCCUCCCAUCCAGGGCCCAUCCUGCUUCCUCUCUGAAAGGAGCAGAUGUAAAGCAGUUGAAUCUGAUGGCAGAACAUAGGUUGCCUUUGGAGCUGACCUCCUUCUGGAGCCCACUGACAUCAUGAUCUGGGGCCUGGAAAGUGAAUGUCUGGAUGCGUGUUUUAAAGAGUGAUUUUUAUCAGGGAAAAAGCACCUGCUUUCAACCCUCAGCCCCGUGGAUUCUGUAAGGCUAAUGCAACAUCAGUUCAUGCCAGUGUGCAGACAGUGAAAAGAAGUGUGUCUCAAGGUCAAGCCAUCCCCAGGAGAGAAUAGCAGCCUGACAAGAGCAUGACCAGGGGAUAGAUAUUUACCUUGUGAUUCAUUAGCACAAGCCCUGCACAGGCUCAGACAACUGCCUGCUGCAAUGUUCCUGAGAGGCCAACACCAGUCAGUUAAGCAAAAGGUUGAGGGUGGGGUAAAGUGCUAUCAUUUCCUGGAUGCCUGCUGCAACCUUGACCCUUUGAGGCCAUACCUCUGACCCUCAUAGCUCAUCAGGCCUCCUGAUGCCUGCUUUCUCGAUGAGGAAACUGAUGCACAAGAGGUGAAGUGAGCUGCACAAGCUCCUGCAGAAGUAAGCCAUGGAGCUGGGAUUUUUAACCCAGGAUGAUCUGGCUCCCAAAUCAACUCCAAGUGAUUCACUGACAAUAAGAAACAGAAAUGUCCGGGGAGUUCCCUGGUGGCUCACAGGUUAAGGACCUGGGAUUCACUGCUGUGGCUCAGGUGACAGCUGUGGCAUGGGUUCAGUCUGUGGCCUGGGAACUUCUGUUUGCCACAGGUGCAACCAGAAAAGAAAGAGAGAGAAAGAGAGAGAGUGGGAGAGAAAGAAAGAGAAAGGAGGGAGGGAAGAAAAGAAGGAAAAAAGAAAGAAAGCGGAAGAACGAAGGAAGAAAGGAAAGAAAGGAAGGACGAUUAUGUCCAGCGGAUGGGAACCUUGUAGCUCUCUGUAAGGAAGACAUACAGCUGGAGGUUGUAAACUGUAAACUCAAGUCUAAUCCUGAUUGCAGUGUUGUUUUGUUUGGCCUGAAUAGUGUUUUCUAAAAAAUGUUUGAAUUCAUUACCAACCCUUAAAAAUAGGGAGUUUUCAUAUAGUUUCAUGCAGAAUGCAGAAUUCUGGUUCCUCUUGGGAAACCAGAAGAUCUGGGAACAGUCAGUUGGAGCUGAGGAUGACUGCCAUUUUCAGAAGGAACAGGAACACUCUUGAGUGCCAUCGUCCCCACCCACCCUGGGGCUGCUCUGUGGGAAAUUAGAUGACCCCACAGCUGCAGAGGGAGGCUAGACCCAGCCCAGGAAGUUCUUGGACACCAACAUGUAAGGGUACCAGCCUGUCAGAACUUCCUUGUUGUACCGGUUUGCUAGGCUGCCUUAACAAAGUACCACACACUGGGUGGCCUAAACAACAGAAAUCUGUUUCCAUUCUGGAGGCUAAAAUCCAAGGUCAAGGCAGGAUUGGUUUCUUCUGAGGCCUCUUCUUGGUUUGUAGAUGGCUGCGUUGUCUCUGUGUCUUCCCUCUGAGUCCUAAUCUCCUCUUCUUAUAAGGACACCAGCCAUGUUGGAUUAGGGCCAACUCUAAUGACCUUGUUUUAACUUGAUUACCUCUUCAAAGACCCUCUCUCCAAAUACAGGCACAUUCUGAGGUACUAGAGGUUAUGACUUGAAUAUACACAUUUGGGAGGGGCUGCAACUCAGCCCCUAAUGAUCAGAUAUUGAUUGUCUUUCCCUAGGGACAGACCUAAUUUUGUACAGUCUGAAACUUAUACAGUGUUGGAAGCCUUCUUCUUCUUUUUUUAAUGGCCACACUGGCUGAAUAUGAAAAUUCCCAGUCCAGAAAUUGAAUCUAAGCUGCAGCCAUGACCUACACCACAGCUGUGUAGGUCAACUCUGGAUCCUUUAACCCACCGUGCCCGGCCAGGGAUUAAACCCGCAUCUCUGCAGCAACCUGAGCUGCUGCAUUUGGAUUCUUAAUGUCUGUGCCAUAGAGAAAACUCCUGGAAACCUUCUUGGUAAAGAAGAAUAUAUAACUGUGAAUGUAGAACUCGGUGCAGGGAGCAGAGCUGCCGGUGCCCUACCCAUGUCCCCCAGGCUGUGCUGGAACUCAGGGUCAGGACCUCCAGCUUUCGCCAAGGCCCUUGCCCACCAAGAGUGCUGGGGAAAUAACUCCUGCUGCCACACUCCCAAGCCCUUGGCCAGUGACUCCUCACCCCUGAAGUGGGACAGCUCUGAGGUGUGUCUUCUACCCGGGGCAUUAAUUGUGUCUUUAUUUCCGAUAUUGCUGUUGUUUUGACAUCUAGGGCCUUGCUGACCCUGGGAGGUUGCCCCCUCCCAGAGUUAGCCAAUUGUUAGAGAUAGUAAAAAAUGCAACUUUCAAGUGCAAGUCAGCCACUCAAGGGCUCACACCCCAAGCACCUUCUUUAUCAGGCUCUCUCUCCUUUUGUAAUCACCCUCAAGCCAGGUACCAGCCAACUAGGACCACCUGGUGCCCAUAGUCCACAUAAAUUAGUCAAGCUAGCCCAUUGUAAUCAUACCCUGCCUCAUGUGUUCCUUCCUGCAGAAACUGCAAUAAAGAUUCUUCAUAGGCCCUCCUCCCUCUGCCUUCUGCCCAACCCUGGUGUUUCUCCGUGUGGCUCCUCAUGGGCUAUGCCCCCCUCCUCUUGGGAACUACGAGUAACAAGCUAUCUUUUCAAUGGCAGUCGCCUCCUGAUCUGUUGGCCUUGCCUUAACUAAAUAAUAAUAAAAGCUGUAUUUUAAAACAUUCUGUUCCCCAAGGGCCCCUAUGGGAUUCAGCUCCAGACACCCACAAUGGGAGCUGGCUUGAUCAUGCAGCCUUUGCUGGCUGACUGCCCUUCCCGGUCUCAUUUCCCCACAUGCCUGCCAAUAUGCCUCCCAGAUAAACCAACCAUAUUCUCAGCCUUGUCCCACGGGCUGCUUCCAGGGGAACCAAAUUAAGUCAGCACAGAAGUGAAUGUUUAUUUUAAAUACAGAGAGGAAAUAAAAGUGGAGACAGAGGCCUUAACUGAUGGCUGUUGUAGGAUCUUACAUUGGCAAAUUUAAAAAAAACGCGGGACCACAUGAACACGUUAGGGCUCUUGGAAGGGGCUCAGAUGAGGGCCACAAUGCUUACAGUUCAUUAGUUUAUGAUAAGUCACCCUCUGACUAGGACAGAGGCUCCAUGAGGGCCAGUACAGUGCCCGGCACAGUGGCUGGCAUGUAGCAGGUGCUUUAUGCAUAGUAGUUUAAUGAACGAACAUCCUAACAGAGCAGACUUGGUGUGCCCCUUUCUCUCCUGGGUGGGGCUUGGUUGGCAUCCUUUAGAUCCCUGUUUUGAGGGUGUCUCCUGGUAGUAGCAAGCCUCCUUCCAAGGGGCACAAUUGAUUUCUUUAGACAUGCUAAUUCCAGAGUUCCCAUGUGGCUUAUUGAUAAUGAACCCAACUGGUAUCCAUGAGAAUGUGGGUUCAAUCCCUGGCUUCA